GACGAACGCUGGCGGCGUGCUUAACACAUGCAAGUCGAACGGAAAGGCCCCUUUGGGGGUACUCGAGUGGCGAACGGGUGAGUAACACGUGAGUAACCUGCCCUUGACUUCGGGAUAACUUCAGGAAACUGGGGCUAAUACCGGAUAGGAAUCCUUGCUGCAUGGUGGGGGUUGGAAAGCUUCGGCGGUUUUGGAUGGACUCGCGGCUUAUCAGCUUGUUGGUGGGGUAGUGGCUUACCAAGGCUUUGACGGGUAGCCGGCCUGGGAGGGCGACCGGCCACAUUGGGACUGGGAUACGGCCCAGACUCCUACGGGAGGCAGCAGUGGGGAAUAUUGCACAAUGGGCGGAAGCCUGAUGCAGCAACGCCGCGUGCGGGAGGACGGCCUUCGGGUUGGAAACCGCUUUCAGCAGGGGCGAAGCUUGUGGUGACGGUACCUGCAGAAGAAGCACCGGCUAACUACGUG
rnacentral:rRNA from 1 species